rnacentral:miRNA from 1 species
GGGGUGGGGGGGGGGGUG